GGUUAAGGUCCGAGUACAAUGGUGUUUACCAUUAAUUGAUCACAGCCAGUUACAGGUUUCUUUACUCCUUCUCCACUUCCACUGCUUCACUUAACUAACCUUGU
ensembl:Y_RNA Y_RNA Y RNA